CCCCUGCAUACCCUGAAUAAAAAAGACCAAGCCAGUUAGAACACAUUUGGUUUAAUUCGUGCCCCUCUGUUGCAUUUGAACAUCAGUUACUCUCGGCCGGUCAUUCGAGUUCAUAUGCGUUGGUAUAUCAUCACAACGGUCAAGAUAACAUAGUGUAUAUAGUAUUCCGAAACAAACAAACCUGAGCUCCAUUGCCUGUUGUCUCAUUAUUUCUUGUCGCAUCAUUUCUUCUUGCCGUUGAAGUUCAGCUUGUUUUGCCAAUAGUUCUACAACAAACCAGGCAAUCACACAUAAUUUUUAACAUCUGAUUUAAGGUGGCCCCCAAGGGUCUUUGCAUUGACAUAACGACAAAAUUUAUUAGACACAUUGACAAUGCUCUCCUGCAUGAACAUAUUACAAUUUGCUACUUUUGUGUUGAAAGUCUGUCACCAUGGUAACAGGGUGUUUAGAUAAAGCUCAAAAUUUGUCUUUUUCCAGCAAUUUUAAAAAUUACCUUUUUUUAAAACGUUGCAUAAACGAUAAACUUCUAUAAUUGUUUCUUCAAAUUUAAUUUAAAAAAUUAUAUCGAUACGUUUUUCAGAAAAUUGAAAAACCCUGUCAAAAAUCAAAAUUAGAAAAUUUCCCCUCAAUUAAAUUUUAAGAAAAUAAGAUAUUGCACUUGAAAUGUGCAAAGUUUGUAAAAAUAUUACCAAAGGAAAAGGGAGAAAUUUAGGUUUAAUUUUGGACUUCAAUAAUCUGGUUGCUUGCACUUCACUAGCCUCCUCCGCAGGCCUCCCUAUGGGUUCUAGCCUGCGAAUGGGUUUUGAAAAAAAAAAUUUCUGGGAGAGAGGCCUGCCAUAAAUCGAACAAAAUGGACGUGUCAAUGUACCCCACCCCCUAAGUAGGCUUUUGACCCUAAUUAUAUAUUCAGUUUGAAAUCUUCAGGCGAGGAGCGAAGCUUGUGAGUAUUAACUUUAAAAAUGUUUUAUAAUGCAUCGAAAUAUUCAAGUUAUACUAAAAUUAGUUGGUCAAUUGAAAGGAUUAUAUAUCGCAAUGUCUCUCGCGGUCUAAAAAUGAAGUGCAAAUUUAAUUGAAUCGCUCGCUCGAAGCAGCCAAAUGUUUACAAUGUAUCAAUUGCUCAGCCGAGGAACUACAAUUUG
rnacentral:lncRNA from 1 species